rnacentral:rRNA from 1 species
GAUGAACGCUAGCUACAGGCUUAACACAUGCAAGUCGAGGGACCGGCGCACGGGUGAGUAACACGUAUCCAACCUGCCCUUUACUCGGGGAUAGCCUUUCGAAAGAAAGAUUAAUACCCGAUGUAAAGGAUGGGGAUGCGUUGCAUUAGGUUGUUGGUGAGGUAAAGGCUGACCAGGCCUUCGAUGGAUAGGGAUUCUGAGAGGAAGGUCCCCCACAUUGGAACUGGGACAAGGUCCAAACUCCUACGGGAGGCAGCAGUGAGGAAUAUUGGUCAAUGGGCGUUAGCCUGAACCAGCCAAGUAGCGUGAAGGAUGAAGGCUUAUGGGUCGUAAACUUCUGUUAGAUAAGAAUAUGUAUUAUAUGAAUAAGGAUCGGCUAACUCCGUGCCAGCCGCCGCGGUAAUA